rnacentral:tRNA from 1 species
GGUAGCGUGGCCAAGAGGUCUAAGGCGCUGAAUUAAGGCUCCAGUCUCUUUGGGGAUGUGGGUUUGAAUCCUACCGUUGCCA